GCCUCAUUGGUCUGCACUGGACUCUAAUUCCGUAAAGAGUUAAAGGGUUUGGCUGAGCCUUCACAGAAUGCUAUCAAACCCAUCUUUCAGUAUAGAGGCCACCCACAGUUCCUGGUCUGUCCUGUUACCCAGAUUUUCUUAAAGAAGAGCACAACAAGCCUGCCUUCAUGUCUGAUAAAAAGAUGACCUCUAGCCGUCGGCAACAUCUCAAGAGUUUGAUACUGGGUAUAGCCAAGGAGCUGCUGGUGGCUGAGGAAAAGCAGACAGAGGAGGAAAGAGCUCGCUAUAUGGAGAAGAAAUGUCCUCCUCUGUCUCUGCCUGGCUCACUGCAGGAAUUACAG